rnacentral:rRNA from 1 species
GGUUCCGGACUGUAAAAAUGGCUCCCGUUGAACACUAUUUCCGGGCUUAACACAUGCCAGUCGAGCCCAAACGACAUCGAAAGCUUGCUUUUGAUGGGCGUCGACCGGCGCACGGGUGAGUAACGCGUAUCCAACCUGCCCACCACUUGGGGAUAACCUUGCGAAAGUAAGACUAAUACCCAAUGACGUCUCUAGAAGACAUCUGAAAGGGAUUAAAGAUUUAUCGGUGAUGGAUGGGGAUGCGUCUGAUUAGCUUGUUGGCGGGGUAACGGCCCACCAAGGCGACGAUCAGUAGGGGUUCUGAGAGGAAGGUCCCCCACAUUGGAACUGAGACACGGUCCAAACUCCUACGGGAGGCAGCAGUGAGGAAUAUUGGUCAAUGGACGAGAGUCUGAACCAGCCAAGUAGCGUGCAGGAUGACGGCCCUAUGGGUUGUAAACUGCUUUUAUAAGGGAAUAAAGUGAGUCUCGUGAGACUUUUUGCAUGUACCUUAUGAAUAAGGACCGGCUAAUUCCGUGCCAGCAGCCGCGGUAAUACGGAAGGUCCGGGCGUUAUCCGGAUUUAUUGGGUUUAAAGGGAGCGUAGGCUGGAGAUUAAGCGUGUUGUGAAAUGUAGAUGCUCAACAUCUGCACUGCAGCGCGAACUGGUUUCCUUGAGUACGCACAAAGUGGGCGGAAUUCGUGGUGUAGCGGUGAAAUGCUUAGAUAUCACGAAGAACUCCGAUUGCGAAGGCAGCUCACUGGAGCGCAACUGACGCUGAAGCUCGAAAGUGCGGGUAUCGAACAGGAUUAGAUACCCUGGUAGUCCGCACGGUAAACGAUGGAUGCCCGCUGUUGGUCUGAAUAGGUCAGCGGCCAAGCGAAAGCAUUAAGCAUCCCA